UACAGAGGUGGCAAGCGUUGUUCGGAAUUACUGGGCGUAAAGGGCGCGUAGGCGGCCACCGCAAGUCGGUUGUGAAAUCUCUGGGCUUAACCCAGAAAGGUCAACCGAUACUGCGGGGCUAGAGUCCGGAAGAGGUUAGUGGAAAUUCCCAGUGUAGAGGUGAAAAUUCGUAGAUAUUGGGAGGAACACCAGUGGCGAAGGCGGCUAACUGGUCCGGUACUGACGCUGAGGUGCGAAAGCGUGGGGAGCAAACAGG
rnacentral:rRNA from 1 species